rnacentral:lncRNA from 1 species
CAGAGCAUGCUGAGCUGGUAACUCCGAAGGCCACCGGUGCCUAGAGCAGCCACCAGCUGGGGCUGAUGUCACUGAAGGCAGCUGGCUGCAGAGAAGGACAGCGAACAAUGGAAAAUAGCUGGCAGCUGCCAUCUCGGGUGCAGAGAGGAUCCCCAAGGCCUCCGGGAGCUGCGCAGUGUGGGCGGCGAGGAGGGCCGCUACCACCAGGGGCUGAGAGCCGCGGGCGUCCGAAGCCUGGGGUGCGAACACGGAGAGAGCUGCGCUGCGCAGAUAGUAGUGGAGGUCCGGAGCAGCAAGCAGACGUGGUCCUCGCCCUCCCUGCCUUCCGCGGAGGCCCCCAGCGGGCAGCGAGUGCAGGGUUGGAGGCCUGGUGGGCGGCGACCUCCACGCCAACCUGCGCCCCGGGCCGGCCGGGCUGGGCUGGUCGGUACUGGCCUGCUCCCCCUGCACCCAGCCUGGGCCGCGUUUUCUCAGCUGCCGUCAGCGACGGGAAGUGUGCUCGUGCACGUGCAUGUGUGCGCGGCACACGCGUGUCCCCGGCUGGCCAGGAGCUCCCCGAGGACCGGGAUCGUGCCUCCCGACCGGGCUGCGCCACUCUUCAGGGGACACCGCGGGUCCCCGGGGCUCUUCCCGCGGGUCCUUGUUCUGUCCGGGGGAAAGGGCGCCUUCUCGCCGCCUCGCUCCGGGAAGCCCACGCCGCUCCGGGGACCGCGGGCUUUGGGUUCCAGGCCUUGGGCCCAGGCCCAAUGCCCAGCCGCGGCCCGGGCUGAGCCCCGUAGGUUCUCACUUGCGGGAACUGCGAGGGAAUUGUGGAGAAGCUGCGAUUUCCUGAAUAAUUUACGCCCACGCGCUCCCAGGGCUGGAUCGCAUGGCCCUGAACAAAGACAGCGGGCCCUACCCUGGGGAACCGGAUCCCCGAGGUCCGGUGACGCCUGGGAACAGCACCGAGGUCGCCUGAGAGCUGCUCCCGGCUGGCGGGCUGCGGGAUGAUGCGGAGGAGGAAGCCGCAGGCUCAGGGAGGCGGCAGCAGAGGGACGCCGGCCUCUCCCCAGACUGCUUCCCAAUCGGCCCGAGCCGUCCACUCUGCAGCAACUGCCGCUCCCGCUGCUUCUGUCCCCGAUCACUUCCAGGGCCUCGCCCGCCCCCGCCCCGCCCCGGCCUCUUGGUUCUCAGGCCUCGCCACGCCACCCUCUCUCCCCACAGGCUCCUUCCCUCAACCUAGAAACACACUCAGGUCUUUGAGUGUUACGAUAAAUCUUCCUUUUGCCCCCCUGGUCACUGGUCUACUUCUGUUUUGUUUGUCUGGUUUUGUUUUUCUGAGACAGGAUCUCCCUCUAUAAUCCAGGCUGGCCUCAAACUCAUGGCAAUCCUCCUGCCUCAGCCUCCCAAGUCUUGGGAUUACAAGUAUGCUCCAGCACACCCAACUCCCCCGCUUGUAGAUUUUUCACACCCCCUAUAUCACAUCCCCUUUCUCAUUCCCAUAACGGAAACCUUCAUCCCCCCCACCCGGGGGGGCCUCGAUUCCCACCUGUUUUCCCCCCACACAACCUACUUCCGCCCAAUUCACCCCUGCAGCUCCGACACACGGAGCCUCCAAUCCCCGCCUCGGUCCCACGUCCCCUGAGCACCUCCUCUGGGAUGACCACGACUCCGGUCAGCCCCAGCUCGGCAGGCGGCGCCUCGGUUACCCCAGACGGUUCACCCCGAACCCAGGGUGUGGCUUCUUUUCGCCCUCCACUUUCUCCUUUCCGUUCACCAGCAAAGCAAGUUUACCUCAGAACUGUCACGGCCCUGCAGGUCUCUGAGGGAGUGAGGGCUGGCGAGGUUCAGGGUCCCCUGGGGAUUCAGCUGUGUCCGCUCCUCGGAGAGAACAGAAACUGCUCUGCGCCCUGCGGUGGGCCCAGGACUCUGCACAGCACUCGGCACACAGUAAGCACCCAGGACGUGGUGGCCAGAAGAAAGGAAGGCGGAAGAAAGGAAAGAAGGAAGAGAGGGAGGGAGGGAGGGAUGAGGGAAGAGGGCACAAAAAAUAAAUCCAGCUUCCUGUCCAGGCCCCAGAGGGACCACGGCCCCGCCCCACGGCCCCGCCCCACGGCCCCUCCUUGGUCUCUGCCCCUCCAGGAGGCAGCGCCCGCAGGACCACAGCCACCGCCCCGCAUCGCCGGGCACGGCUCCUGCACCUGCACCCUUUGCUCCCGGCCGUGGCCGCCCCGGCUGGGUGCCAACCUCAGCUCCCCCUUGCAACCCAGGCUCGCUGCACGGUGCAGCAGGGAGCUCUGGCCUUCCGUUUCUGCCCAGGAGACUGGCGUCGUCGCACCUGCUUAGCGCUAGGAUGCCUUUCUCCCGGACUGGGACGUGAACGGAGCUGGAGCCCGAAGCCCUGACUAUGGCAGAGGAUCCACCACCAAGUAGCUCUGUACCCUCAGUUUCCGCAUCGGUUCUAAAGGAGAAGGCUAGGUGUGGUGGCGCAAGCCUGUAAUCCCAGCACUGGGAGGCUGAGGCAGGAGGAUCGCUGUGAGUUUGAGGCCGGUCUGGGCUCCAUAGUGAGUUUAAAACCUGCCUAAACCAUAUAGCAAGACCUGUCUUUUUUUGUGUGUGUGUGUGGUACCAGGAAUUGAACUCAGGACCUUGCGUGUACCGGGAAGGCACUUAUACCACGGAGCUAUACCCCCCGGCCCCAUGACCUGUCUCUAAAAACCAAGAGUAAAUAAAUAAACACAAUAGAACAUAAAACUGCUUUAGCUGGGCAUGGUGGCGCAUGCCUGUAAUCCCAGCACUUGGGAGGCUGAGGCAGGAGGACCGUUGCAAGUUCGAGGCCAGUCUGGGCUAGAAAGUGAGCUCAAGGCCAGCCUGAACUGCAUAGCGAGACCCUGUCUCAGAAAGACAAAUAAAUAAAAAAUAAAAGUGUUUUGCAGACUAUAAUGUUCUCUUCCCAAGCAAUUGUUAUUUUAUUGUUCAUCCUCUUGGGAAUAGAGUAGUAUGUGUGAAUGGCUCACGCCAGGAGCCCUUCCUUUGGCAGCUUGACAAAGGUCUUGGUUCUGCUUUAGCUUUACUUAUGUAUCGAUUUGUCUAUUUAGCUAUUUAUAUGCAGUACUGGGGACUGAACCCAGGGCCUUUUUACUGAGCUACAUCCCCAGACUUUGAGAGUCUUCCUAAGUUGCCCGGGCUGGGACUGAACUUGUGAUCCUCCUGCCUCGGCCUCCCAGGGUGCUGGGAUUCCAGGUCUGAGCCGUCUCCUGUCUCACCAGAUGGCCGUGGCUGCUCCAGGGCUCAGCUUCACAGCUGCAGCUGUAACAACUGAAAGAGGAAGGUGUGGGUCGCGGGGCGCGGGGUAGCAAGGUGCACCUGGCUUAGCAGUUCAGUAGGGUCAGGGGACAGAAGGCGCGGGGGCACUGGUAAUGGGAGCAGCUUUUCCCAGAAGCUGCUGGUUGGCGCCCCCUUGAUUCUAUUGGCCAGGCUGCACCCCCGAUCAGCCAGUCAGUGGCUCAGGAGCGCGAGUCAAGGCCAAUCAAGGUUCAUCUGUGGUUGAGCAAGUGAGCAAAACGGGCGAUCUGCCACCAAGGCUGGUGGGGGUGGCAGCCGAGGCCACUGCCCUCAUGCUGCAGUGUCCCCACCCCCACCCUCCUGCAGCGCCCGUCCCUUCCCCCGGUGACAACGCCCCACACGGCCGGAAGACCCCUCCCCAUCUCGCUGCCUGCCUGCAAGCGAGGCACAGAUGGGGUUGCAGGCGGCAACCCCACGUCGCAUGAAUCACACAGCGCUCCAGAGUCCAGGCCUCUGCCUGCCCAGGCCGCAGUGCACCCGACCUGGCUGAGAAGGAGGAUUUGAGCCGAGCAGCCAGUGCCAGCACACGGCUCCUCCCUGCCUGGCCACGACCGAGCUGGGUGCGCAGGCCCCUCUGGCAGCACGGCUGCACCUGGUCUCACAAGGGCCCUGUGUGCUGGGGACACUGAGGACAGGGAAACGGCGUCCUGGCCUGGGUGACCCGCAGCCCGUGGGAGCUUCUCCUCCUCCCGAUGGGUCUCCAGGAGAGUGUGGCAGCCGCUGGGCCAGCAAGGGAGUUUCCAGGAAAGGCAGCCGGGCAGCAGGCUGGAGGGGCUGGGAGGACUCAGGGAGGGGCCAGGGUCGCACCGGGCUUCCAGGGCUUCUUCCCCUCUAGGAAGGCUCGAGGGAGUGACCCUGUCCCAGCCCUUGGCCCACGGCAGCUAAUCUCUGGGAUGCCAUCUUGUUUCCUCCCUGUCCCCUUUGCAUCCACUCAGUACCUGCCCUCUCCAUACCAAGAGGCUUGGAUUCUCGGGUACCCUGACUCGUAAGAGUUGAGCACCCAGCAUUCACCAUGGGAAGAUAAAAAUGUCAUUUCUCAAGACACAAACUUCAAAGCUGGGUGUAGUGGCACACACACUUGCAACUCAGGAGGCUGAGGCAGGAGGCCUCCUGAGAGUUUGAGGCCGGCCUGGGCUAUAUAGGGAGUUCAAGAUAAGUACAAGCUACAUAGCCAGACCUUGCCUAAAAAAAAAACCCAGAAAGAUAAAAACUUCGGAGACUUCUACAGCUAGCAAAGGAAAACGUGUUACUUUCACCUUCCUGAGUGCUUUUCAGUGCCAAGUUUUAUAUUUAGGAUCACAUGAAUUAUGCAGAGCCGCAGGCUGGUGGACAGCUUCCAAACACGAGAAACUACAUUUCCCUUCCUUUGGAUAAUGAGUUCAAGGUCUUCACCGCAAGUCACAUCACGUCUCAGAAGCAAAAACCAGUUCCUACUGGGACCGUAAGGUCUUCCGGCCAGCAGAUCUAAUCUCUGUAGGCCGGAUCUCCUCCCCUUCCUAACUGCUUCUCCCACUAAAAAUCGCUUUUGUGCUGCUGUCUUAGCGCCUCCGACAUAUCAGACACAAUGCUCAGCUACGCUGGCUGCCUCUGCCUACCUUAGAGACGCAAAGGAUCUGGGCAGGACUCUCAGAGAAAGGCUGGUGGGUGUGAACGGCCCACAGCAUGGAUGCGACUGAUGAGGGCGAGGAUGGAGACCAUUUACACUUCCUAUAAACCCCUCAGGAGUGGAGCAGAGCACACUGCUCCUGUCCUGUGUGCCUCAUGCAUUAUCUUCUUCAGCACUGGCGAGAACUGCAAGUUUCCCACUAGACACACAGCACAGUGAGGCUGAGAGGUUAAGAGGCUUGCCAAAAGGCAGAGCUGGGAGUCAAGCUCACAGGCUCAACCUCAGGCUCUGCUGUGGGCUCCCAGCUGGACGAAACCCUGACAGCCUCCCUGCUGCCCCUGUGGGGUGCUGGGGAUAGAACCCAGGGCCUCAUGCACGUUAGACAAGCUCUCCACUGCUGAGAUGGACCCGCGGACUGUUUUCUUUGGAACAGUUAAGUUGCCCAGGCCAGACUUCAACUUGUGAUCUUCCUUCCUCAACCUCCUGAGUCACUGCCACCAUCACGCCAGCUAACCUUGAAUUUCAUGGAACCAUGAUGGAAGGAUACUUGGGCACUAGAUGCAAUCAUAGCCUAGGAUUUUACCCACUGCCUGUUUCCUAACAAAAGGAACUAUUACGAUUGAAAUCUCUAUUCACUCCUAUCUGAAAU